CCUACGGGCGGCAGCAGUGGGGGAUAUUGCACAAUGGGGGAAACCCUGAUGCAGCGACGCCGCGUGAGUGAAGAAGUAUUUCGGUAUGUAAAGCUCUAUCAGCAGGGAAGAAAAUGACAGUACCUGACUAAGAAGCCCCGGCUAACUACGUGCCAGCAGCCGCGGUAAUACGUAGGGGGCAAGCGUUAUCCGGAUUUACUGGGUGUAAAGGGAGCGUAGACGGUGAAGCAAGUCUGAAGUGAAAGGCCGGGGCCCAACCCCGGGACUGCAUUGGAAACUGUGUAACUGGAGUACAGGAGGGGCAGGCGGAAUUCCUGGUGUAGCGGUGAAAUGCGUAGAUAUCAGGAGGAACACCAGCGGCGAAGGCGGCCUACUGGACUGAAACUGACGUUGAGGCUCGAAAGCGUGGGGAGCAAACAGGAUUAGAUACCCCUGUAGUC
rnacentral:rRNA from 1 species